GAGGAAGGUGAGGACGACGUCAAAUCAUCAUGCCCCUUAUGUCUUGGGCUUCACGCAUGCUACAAUGGCCGGUACAAUGGGUUGCGAUACUGCGAGCCGGAGCGGACCCCACAAACCAUCCCCAGUUCGGAUUGCAGGCUGCAACCCGCCUGCAUGAAGUCGGAAUCGCUAGUAAUCGCAGGUCAGCAUACUGCGGUGAAUACGUUCCCGGGCCUUGUACACGUCGACGCGGCCG
rnacentral:rRNA from 1 species